GAUGAACGCUGGCGGCGUGCCUAAUACAUGCAAGUCGAGCGAACAGACGAGGAGCUUGCUCCUCUGUCGUUAGCGGCGGACGGGUGAGUAACACGUGGAUAACCUACCUAUAAGACUGGGAUAACUUCGGGAAACCGGAGCUAAUACCGGAUAAUAUAUUGAACCGCAUGGUUCAAUAGUGAAAGACGGUUUUGCUGUCACUUAUAGAUGGAUCCGCGCCGCAUUAGCUAGUUGGUACGGUAACGGCUUACCAAGGCAACGAUGCGUAGCCGACCUGAGAGGGUGAUCGGCCACACUGGAACUGAGACACGGUCCAGGCGCCUACGGGAGGCAGCAGUAGGGAAUCGUCCGCAAUGGGCGAAAGCUUGACGGAGCAACGCCGCGUGAGUGAUGAAGGUCUUCGGAUCGUAAAACUCUGUUAUUAGGGAAGAACAAAUGUGUAAGUAACUAUGCACGUCUUGACGGUACCUAAUCAGAAAGCCACGGCUAACUACGUG
rnacentral:rRNA from 1 species